AUUGAACGCUGGCGGCAUGCCUUACACAUGCAAGUCGAACGGUAGCACAGAGGAGCUUGCUCCUUGGGUGACGAGUGGCGGACGGGUGAGGAAUACAUCGGAAUCUACCCUGUCGUGGGGGAUAACGUAGGGAAACUUACGCUAAUACCGCAUCCGAACUGAGGUUGAAAGCGGCGGACCGCACGGCGUCGCGCGCGUGGAUGAGCCGAUGUCCGAUUAGCGAGUUGGCGGGGUAAAGGCCCACCAAGGCGACGAUCGGUAGCUGGUCUGAGAGGAUGAUCAGCCACACUGGAACUGAGACACGGUCCAGACUCCUACGGGAGGCAGCAGUGGGGAAUUUUGGACAAUGGGGGCAACCCUGAUCCAGCCAUGCCGCGUGAGUGAAGAAGGCCUUCGGGUUGUAAAGCUCUUUCGGCCGGGAAGAAAUCGUAUCAGCUAAUACCUGGUGCGGAUGACGGUACCGGCAUAAGAAGCACCGGCUAACUACGUGCCAGCAGCCGCCGUAAGAC
rnacentral:rRNA from 1 species